UUAGGCAUGCAAGUCGAACGAAUCCCAUCUGGGUAACUGGAUGGGGGAAGUGGCGAAAGGGGCAGUAAUGCGUGGGUAACCUACCUCCGGGACGGGGAUAGCCAUUCUAACGAGUGGGUAAUACCCGGCGAGGUGACGAGGGGGCAUCUUCUUGUCACGAAAUGAAUUUCGCCUGGAGAGGGGCUCACGUGAUAUUAGCUUGUUGGUAGGGUAACGGCCUACCAAGGCAAAGAUGUCUAGCGGGUGUGAGAGCACGACCCGCGCCACUGGCACUGAGACACUGGCCAGACACCUACGGGUGGCUGCAGUCGAGGAUCUUCGGCAAUGGGCGCAAGCCUGACCGAGCGACGCCGCGUGCGCGAUGAAGGCCUUCGGGUUGUAAAGCGCUGUCGAGGGGGAGGAAGCCGCAAGGUUGACCUAUCCCUGGAGGAAGCACGGGCUAAGUUCGUGCCAGCAGCCGCGGUAAGACGAACCGUGCAAACGUUGUUCGGAAUCACUGGGCUUAAAGGGCGCGUAGGCGGAUCAUCAAGUCCGGGGUGAAAUCUUUCGGCUUAACCGGAAAAGUGCCUUGGAUACUGGUGAUCUUGAGUGAGGUAGGGGCAGCUGGAACUUCCGGUGGAGCGGUGAAAUGUGUUGAUAUCGGAAGGAACUCCCGUGGCGAAAGCGAGCUGCUGGACCUCUUCUGACGCUGAGGCGCGAAAGCUAGGGGAGCAAACGGGAUUAGAUACCCCGGUAGUCCUAGCCCUAAACGAUGGGUACUAGGUUGUGGACUUAACAUGGGUUCACAGCCGAAGCAAAAGUGUUAAGUACCCCGCCUGGGGAGUAUGGUCGCAAGGCUGAAACUCAAAGGAAUUGACGGGGGCUCACACAGCGGUGGAGCAUGUGGCU
rnacentral:rRNA from 1 species